GCCGAUGUGGUGAAAUUGGUAGACACGCCAUCUUGAGGGGGUGGUAGCGCAAGCUGUGGCGGUUCGAGUCCGCCCAUCGGCACCA
rnacentral:tRNA from 1 species